UCCAGAAGGCAUUGCUCUCUCAGAAUACUCCUCUUUCCUCGUUUCUUCUUAUAAAAAUUUGACAAGUGAAGGUUUAAAAGUGUGCUGAUUAAAUAGAAGGUUGAAAGUGCAGAAUUAAGUUGUGAUUCAUCAUAAGCAUAAGCUAAAGUUUUUGAUCUCAAGGAUCUUUUCCUUGAAGAGCCCAGUUCUUUAGCAAGGAAAGAAUUUCUUCCUCAAUCAACAGGAUUCCUUAUUGAAUUGUAGAUAUGCCAAGGUUCAAGUUUCGGAGAAGAAGGCAAAAUUCGAUUCGGUC